rnacentral:lncRNA from 1 species
UGUCAUGCUCGCUAAGCGAAGCCCACGUGUUUUGAAAAAAAAAAUGAAAAAAAAAGAAGAAACAAACGAAAAAAAAAACGAAAAACGAAAAAAAUAAAUAAAAAAUAAAUAAAUAAUAAAAAAAAUAAUAAAAUAAUAAUAAUAAUAAUAAUAAUUAAAUAAAAAAAUAAUUAAAUAAAUAAAUAAAAAAUCUCAAACUUGGACC